UACGAAGGGGGCUAGCGUUGUUCGGAUUUACUGGGCGUAAAGGGCGCGUAGGCGGCCUGCUAAGUCGAACGUGAAAUCCCUGGGCUCAACCCAGGAACUGCGUCUGAUACUGGUUGGCUUGAAUCCGGGAGAGGGAUGUGGAAUUCCAGGUGUAGCGGUGAAAUGCGUAGAUAUCUGGAGGAACACCGGUGGCGAAGGCGACAGCCUGGACCGGUAUUGACGCUGAGGCGCGAAAGCCAGGGGAGCAAACGGG
rnacentral:rRNA from 1 species